UUUAUUUUCUAUUUUCUUAGCUUUGAAAUAUUCCUUCUUAAUGACAAUUUCUAAAAAGUUAUUUUAUCAUUUUCAAGAUUUUCUUUCAAUUAAUUGAUUUUCUAAUUUAGUUCCUUUUUGUGGCAUGAAAUUUUUGCAGGGGAUGUGUUCAUAUUCUUUUAUAUUCUGUCUUCUUCCAUUCCGGGUUCUUUGUCUUUGCCUGAUCCUUCUUUCUCUUUUUCCCCAUCAUAUAUUGGCAUAGUUGCAAAACCAUUUAUUUUUCAUCCUGUUUGUGCUCAAGAUGAGAUUCACUCAUAUUAUGAGUAUAGCUGUGUUAUCAUUUUCACUGCUCUACAGUUUCCCUUAUCUAAAUAUUUUGCAAGUUAUACAUUCUCCUAUGGAUGGACAUUUGGAUUGCUUCCUGUUUUAUGCCAACCCAAACAGCGCCACCAUAAGUGGUUGUAAGCUUAGCUUCUGGUCCACAGAUGCCAAGGUUUCUCCGGAAAUUACACCUAGGAGUGGAGUUGUGAGCUGGGUUGUAGAGAACAUGCCCCUCAGGCUCAAUGGGCAGUAUCCUAUUGCUUGCCACCAUAUUGAUUUACACUCCCACCAGAAGCACGUGAGCACUCCUGCUGUUCCACGUGCCCCCAACACUUGAUACUGCUAAGCUUGUACAUUUCUGCCUGUCUGAUACAGAUGAAAUGCUAUCUCAGCUAUAAUUUUUAUUUCACUUUUUACUAAUGUGUUGAACAGCCUUUUAUAUUUUAUAACUUUUGUUUAGAACGUUUUUGAUAAAAAUAUACCCACUUUUAAUAAAUAUUUAUUGAGUGCUGACUGCAUGCCAAUAAUGUGCUUCAUUCUAGGUAAUUAUUUGUGAACAAAACAGAUACGAUCUCUGCUCGUAUAGAGAUCACGUUACCUUAUAUCAGGGAGAGAGUUAUUAAACAGGUAAAAAGUCAUGAAUACAAUUUUUUUUUAGUGGUAUGAUGAAAAAGACCAGGGUGUUAUGAGAGAGAAUAACAGCAGGGACCUCAUUUAGAUUUAAGACUAAGGAAACAUUUAUAAAAACUAAACAUAUGAAGAUGGAAAAUGGAUGUACUGUUGGCUUUUCCAUCAAGAAUAUGAUGGUAUGUGAAGGUGAGACUACCAGGUAUUUUUAUUUCCUUUUUUAUACUUUGCUGAAUUGCUUGCAUUUUUUUUAAACAAAGGCUUGUACUUUCUAUAUAAACAGUAACAAUGAAAAUUUCUAAAAAGUUAUAUUUGUCACAAGGACACUAUUUCGGUUUCAUACCUUACCCAUUUUCUAAAAGCUCUUGAUCAUCGCAGAAACACUCUCCUGAAGAAAAAAAAGUAUGGAAAACCAUAUGUCAUUAAGACAUUAAAAAUGGGUUUCACCAAUCCAGUAACUGCACCGAGCCCCCGCUACACACCAGGCUCUUGCCUCUUGCUUCUCUCUCCAAGUCUUCCCCCAGGCAGUGUAUCAGAUGCAGCCCACCUCCCUGAAAGAGAAAUGGACAAAUUUAGCUGCUCUUUGGGUUAAUUUUAUGCAAUUUUCUAAGAAGCUUAGGUCCUUUCUAAUGAACUUAUAUCUCUAAAUAUUUUUAUUAAAGAUAUUUCCCUUUAGAUACCAAUAUUUCUAUGCACACUAAGGAAAAUUUAGUGAUUCUGCUUUUUAUUCCUUUAGUGGAUCGAGUUUCUUAUACAUAUAUUUCCAUGUUCCAGGAGCUCUUUAAGAAAAUGACCUUUUACACCAAGUUGUGGUGAUUUUGUUUAUCUUCUUAUCCCAGUUAGCAGGAAAAAAUUGAAUUCAGACAAAGUGGGAUGGUUGAAGAUAUUGGAGAAUAUUGUUAUUACUCAAUAAUAAACAGCAGGAAAACCUUUGGAAAUAAAACCCGUCUUCACAGUAUUUUUAUGAGUCAUAUAAAAAUCAGUGGUUAACCUAUGUUACUGCAUUUUAGAAGCCCCAUAAGCAAAGCUCGUUCACCCAGGUUCUUUAUAAUUCCUCAUUAAAAAAAAGAAAAGGAUGAUUAAAGAAAUGUCCAAUGUAUAUUGUGUUUAUGCAGUCCUUAUAUUAAUAAUUUUCCUUACUGUAAAAGCUACUUCUAUUUUUAAUAAAAUAUUACCAGCUUU
rnacentral:lncRNA from 1 species